AUAAACGCUGGCGGCAUGCCUAAUACAUGCAAGUCGAACGCACCAGCAAUGGUGAGUGGCGAACGGGUGAGUAACACGUAAGUAACCGACCCCAAAGACGAGGAUAACGGUUGGAAACGACCGCUAAAACUGGAUAGGACGAGAGAGCAGAAGCUUUCGCGUUUAAAGGUCCUGCAAGGGACUGUUUUGGGACGGGCUUGCGGCGCAUUAGCUAGUUGGUGAGACAAUAGCCCACCAAGGCGACGAUGCGUAGCUGCGCUGAGAGGCGGAACAGCCACACUGGGACUGAGACACGGCCCAGACUCCUACGGGAGGCAGCAGUAGGGAAUUUUCGGCAAUGGGGGGAACCCUGACCGAGCAAUGCCGCGUGAAUGAAGAAGGUCUUCGGAUUGUAAAAUUCUGUUAUCGGGAAAGAACACUUUGACCAGGAAAUGGGUUAGAGCUGACGGUACCCGAUGAGAAAGCCCCGGCCAACUACGU
rnacentral:rRNA from 1 species